rnacentral:rRNA from 1 species
UGCCUUAUAGUGGGGGAGUAGCCUUUCGAAAGGAAGAUUAAUACCGCAUAAGAUUGUAGUAUCGCAUGAUAUAGCAAUUAAAGGAGCAAUCCGCUAUAAGAUGGACCCGCGUCGCAUUAGCUAGUUGGUGAGGUAAUGGCUCACCAAGGCGACGAUGCGUAGCCGACCUGAGAGGGUGAUCGGCCACAUUGGGACUGAGACACGGCCCAGACUCCUACGGGAGGCAGCAUG